AUGCACCAGCGCAGACAGCCGCCUAACCCUGGCAGGGGCGUGGCGCUGUUUCUCACCGGUCUCGCCGGUCUCGCUGCUGUCGCCGAUGUGCCGGAACUCACGGAAGACAACUUCGAGAGUCGCGUCUCCGAGUCCGCGGGCCUCAGGCUGGUGGAGUUCUUUGCCCCCUGGUGUGGGACAUUGCAAGACGCUUGCCCCUGGGUAUGAAGCUGCAGCCACCAGAUUAAAAGGAGUAGUUCCAUUAGCUAAGGUUGAUUGUACUGCUAACACAAACACUUGUAAUAAGUACGGAGUCAGUGGAUAUCCAACCCUGAAGAUAUUCAGAGAUGGUGAAGAAGCAGGUGCUUAGGAUGAGCCUAGGACGGCAGAUGGAAUUGUCAGCCACCUAAAGAAGCAGGCAGGACCAGCUUCAGUUCCUCUCAAGACCGAGGAAGAAUUUAAGAAAUUCGUUAGUGAUAAAGAUGCCUCUGUAGUAAGUUUUUUCAAGGAUUUAUUCAGUGAUGCACACUCUGAGUUCCUAAAAGCAGCCAGCAACUUGAGGGAUAGUUACCGCUUUGCACACACCAGUGUUGAAUCUCUGGUGAAGGAGUAUGAUGAUGAUGGAGAGGGUAUCGUCUUAUUUCGUCCUUCACAUCUAAUGAACAAAUUUGAGGACAAGACUGUGGCCUAUGCAGAACAGAAAAUGACCAGUGGCAAGAUUAAAAGGUUUAUACAGGAAAACAUUUUUGGUGUCUGCCCUCACAUGACAGAAGACAAUAAAGAUUUGAUACAGGGCAAGGACUUACCAAUUGCUUACUGUGAUGUAGACUAUGAAAAGAAGGUUAAAGGUUCCAACUACUGGAGAAACAGAGUAAUGAUGGUGGCAAAGGAAUUCCUGGGUGGUGGACACAAACUCAACUUUGCUGUAGCUAGCCAUAAAACCCUUAGCCAUGAGCUUUCUGACUUUGGCUUAGAAGGCACUGCUGGAGAGAUUCCUGUUGUUGCUCUCAGAACUGCUAAAGGAGAGAAGUUUGUCAUGCAGUGAUGGAAAGGCUCUUGAGAGGUUCCUACAGGAUUACUUUGAUGGCAACCUGAAGAGAUACCUAAAGUCUGAGCCUAUCCCAGAGACCAAUGAUGGGCCUGUAAAGAUAGUGGUAGCAGAGAAUUUUGAUGAAAUAGUUAAUAAUGAAAAUAAAGAUGUGCUGAUUGAACUUUAUGCCCCUUGGUGUGGUCACUGUAAGAAUCUGGAGCCCAAAUAUAAAGAACUAGGAGAAAGCUCAGCAAAGACCCAAAUAUUGUCAUAGCCAAGAUGGACACCACAGCCAGUGAUGGGCCUUCUCCAUGUGAAGUCAGAGGUUUUCCCACCAUCUACUUCUCUCCAGCCAACCAGAAGCUAAAUCCAAACACAUAUGGAGGUGGCCAUGAAUUGAACAAUUUUGUUAGC